UCCAGACUCCUACGGGAGGCAGCAGUGGGGAAUAUUGCACAAUGGGGGGAACCCUGAUGCAGCGACGCCGCGUGGGCGAGGAAGUAUUUCGGUAUGUAAAGCCCUAUCGGCAGGGAAGAAGAAAUGACGGUACCUGAAUAAGAAGCCCCGGCUAACUACGUGCCAGCAGCCGCGGUAAUACGUAGGGGGCAAGCGUUAUCCGGAUUUACUGGGUGUAAAGGGGGCGCAGACGGCGAUGCAAGCCAGGAGUGAAAGCCCGGGGCCCAACCCCGGGACUGCUCUUGGAACUGCGUGGCUGGAGUGCAGGAGGGGCAGGCGGAAUUCCUGGUGUAGCGGUGAAAUGCGUAGAUAUCAGGAGGAACACCGGUGGCGAAGGCGGCCUGCUGGACUGCAACUGACGUUGAGGCCCGAAAGCGUGGGGAGCAAACAGGAUUAGAUACCCGAGUAAAA
rnacentral:rRNA from 1 species